rnacentral:lncRNA from 1 species
GGCUUGCCGCCCAUGACCGGAUGCAUGUGAUGGCUCGGUGUCUUCGGGUGCUGGGACUGUCCCGUCUGUAACAUCCGCGUUCAUGACCAGAUGCAGCGCACAGCGUGACCCGUGCUCGCAUCCAGGUAGACUUCGGCAGGGUGGCCAUCAGGAAAGCUGAUCUCCCACACGCAAGAUGAGGGGCACGUUAUGUGUUUUACCGCAUAACUGGCUGUAGUACAGCUUUACAGGCUCACCAUCUACGCGUAGCCCUGCUAUUACUGCUUCCUACUCAUAGCUAAAUCUAGUCUGUCAAAGCGUGAACUGUCACACCCUCUCCACAGCACUUUCUGUCCCUGUCAAACUCUUCCACAUCUCCUUUUGCAUUGACUAUGCACACGUUCGCACAAGUAGCACUCUGUCACUCUCACACAAGUACACGCAGUCAGGUACCACCAUGUGUUUACAGCAUGAUGGACGCACGCACAGCCUUACAGACUCCUCACGUACAUCUAUAACCCAUGAAUGCAGCUUCUGAGACAGCACUAACCUAUUAUCCGUACCACACCAGCUGAGAAUGUUCUGCCAACUCACCACCCUCCUGUGGCGUAUCCCCCCCUCCUGUUCUACUUUGUUUGCCGUGGUCACCCAG